rnacentral:rRNA from 1 species
UACAGAGGUCCCGAGCGUUGUUCGGAUUCAUUGGGCGUAAAGGGUGCGUAGGCGGUCUGCUAAGUUUGAUGUGAAAUCCCGGGGCUCAACCCUGGAAUGGCAUUGAAUACUGGCGGACUAGAGUACCGGAGAGGAGACUGGAAUUUACGGUGUAGCGGUGAAAUGCGUAGAUAUCGUAAGGAAGACCAGUGGCGAAGGCGGGUCUCUGGACAGUUCCUGACGCUGAGGCACGAAGGCCAGGGGAGCAAACGGG